GAUGAAGAACGUAGCGAAAUGCGAUAAGUAAUGUUAAUUGCAGAAUUCAGUGAAUCAUCGAAUCUUUGAACGCACAUUGCGCCCGCCAGUAUUCUGGCGGGCAUGCCUGUUCGAGCGUCAUUACAACCCUCAGGCCCCCGGGCCUGGCGUUGGGGAUCGGCGGAGCCCCCCGUGGGCACACGCCGUCCCCCAAAUGCAGUGGCGGUCCCGCCGCAGCUUCCAUCGCGUAGUAGCUAACACCUCGCGACUGGAGAGCGGCGCGGCCACGCCGUAAAACACCCAACUCUUCUGAAGUUGACCUCGAAUCAGGUAGGAAUACCCGCUGAACUUAAGCAUAUCAAUAAGCGGAGGA
rnacentral:misc_RNA from 1 species